rnacentral:rRNA from 1 species
UACGGAGGGGGCUAGCGUUGUUCGGAAUUACUGGGCGUAAAGCGCACGUAGGCGGCUUUGCAAGUUAGAGGUGAAAGCCCGGGGCUCAACCCCGGAAUUGCCUUUAAGACUGCAUCGCUCGAAUCCAGGAGAGGUGAGUGGAAUUCCGAGUGUAGAGGUGAAAUUCGUAGAUAUCGAGAGGAACACCAGUGGCGCAAGCGGCUGACUGGCCGAGACCUGACGCUGAGACACGACGGCGUGGGGAGCAAACCGG